CCUACGGGCGGCAGCAGUGGGGGAUAUUGCACAAUGGGGGAAACCCUGAUGCAGCGACGCCGCGUGGGUGAAGAAGCGCCUCGGCGCGUAAAGCCCUGUCAGCAGGGAGGAAAAUGACGGUACCUGAAGAAGAAGCCCCGGCUAACUACGUUCCAGCAGCCGCGGUAAUACGUAGGGGGCAAGCGUUAUCCGGAUAUACUGGGUGUAAAGGGGGCGCAGACGGCGAUGCAAGCUAGGAGUGAAAGCCCGGGGCCCAACCCCGGGACUGCCUUUGGAACUGCGUGGCUAGAGAGUAGGAGGGGCAGGCGGAAUGCCUGGUGUAGCGGUGAAAUGCGUAGAGAUCAGGAGGAACACCGGUGGCGAAGGCGGCCUGCUGGACUGCAACUGACGUUGAGGCACGAAAGCGUGGGGAGCAAACAGGAUUAGAUACCCGAGUAGUC
rnacentral:rRNA from 1 species